UUUUUGAAAAUAAUAUAAAGUCUAAUCUGCCCACUGAUUUAUUAUUAAAGGGCUGCAGUAUAUUGACUGUACAAAGGUAGCAUAAUCAUUUGUCUCUUAAUUGGUGACUUGUAUGAAAGAUUGAAUGAAAUAUAAACUGUCUCAUUAUAAUUUGUAAAAUUUAAUUUUUUAGUAAAAAAGCUAAAAUUUAUUUAAAAGACGAGAAGACCCUAUAGAGUUUUAUAUUUUUUUUAAAAAUAAUAAAAUAUAAAUUUUUAAAUUAUAUUUAAUAAAAAUAUUUUGUUGGGGUGACAAAAAAAUUUAAUUAACUUUUUUUAAAAAUUUACAUUAAUUUAUGAGAAGAUGAUCCAUUAAUAAUGAUUAUAAGAAAAAAUUACCUUAGGGAUAACAGCGUAAUUUUUUUUUUUAGGUCAAAUAAGAAGAAAAGUUUGCGACCUCGAUGUUGGAUUAAGAUAAAAUUUAAAUGCAAAAGUUUAAAAUUUUGAUCUGUUCGAUCAUUAAAAUCUUACAUG
rnacentral:rRNA from 1 species